AUACGCGGUGCGGCCGCUGCUUCAGGUCGGCGGGCUCCAGGGAGACCUGGGUGGGCAGCGUCGCCGUUUCUCCUUUCUUGGGCAGUAUUUUUCCCAGCGCCACGCGGAGGCUGGGCCAUUAUGAGCUCUGCAUUUCCAGGACCUGGUCACUAUUCAGGACACGGUUCCAGCGCAGUGCGCGUUAGCCAUGUCUCAGGGAUGAGUGACAUUCCAAGAUGUGGCCAUUGACUUCUCCAAGGAAGAGUGGGGAUUCCUGAACCCUGCUCAGAGAGAUUUGUACACAACUGUGAUGCUGGAGAAUUAUCAGAACCUGGUCUGGCUGGGACUUUCCAUUUCUAAAUCUGUGAUUUCACUGUUGGAGAAAAGGAAACUGCCUUGGAUAAUGGCAAAAGAAGAGAUAAGAGGCCCAUUGCCAGGUGAGUAUGAAGAACCAACUAGCGGGGGUAAGCCAUGUAUAUGAAAGGCAUACCAGGUCUAGAGGGCAAAGCACCUUUAAGAUGUGAAAGAUGCUCUCUUCCAAUGUUCCAUACGUAUGUAGAAAUUGAGGCUC
rnacentral:lncRNA from 1 species